rnacentral:rRNA from 1 species
UACGUAGGUGGCAAGCGUUGUCCGGAUUUAUUGGGUUUAAAGGGUGCGUAGGCGGCUUGAUAAGUCAGUGGUGAAAGCCGAUCGCUUAACGAUCGAACUGCCAUUGAUACUACCAGGCUUGAGUAUAGAUGAGGUAGGCGGAAUUGACGGUGGAGCGGUGAAAUGCGUAGAUAUCGUCUGGAACGCCGAAGGUGAAAACAGCUCGCUGGGGCUGCGCUGACGCUGAGACACGAAAGCCAGGGGAGCGAACGGG